UUCAUCUGUAAACUAUUUGUCAUUACCUUUGUUUCUCUCUUUCAAAUUCUUAUAUAAUUAUUGAAUUCACGCAAAGAAAAUUUGACGAAUUGCUGUGUUUAUUGUGUGUACUUUUAUUCUCUAGUUUCUGAUAAUCAAAUGGACGAUGAUAAUAGAAUUAAAUGUUCCUCGUCUGAUCUAAAAGAUAUUAAUGCGGACGAUUUCGAUAAAAAUUUAAAUGUUAUUCCCAUCGACGAACCUGAAAUGGAAACAAGAAUCACAGAAAUAAAAUGUGAAAAAACUACUGAUGACUUAGAAGAAAGUAAAUUGUCUUCUGAUUCCGAUGACAUAAAAGGAUUUUAUUUUUGUUCGUCAGAGGAUCAAAUAACUCCUUUUAAACGCAAGAGAAGACCAUUGAAAACAGCAUUUGUAUAUUUAGAAACAUAUUCUUUGGCCAAAGGAACCAUCAAAGAAGAAGAGGAAUUGGGCCAUGAAUCGUCCGAAGAUGACGUGAGUUCUACCAACAGCGAUACUGACGUCACGUCCAAAUAUUCAUUAGAGAGGUUGCAGCCGACGUUUUCAUCGUGAAAAUGUGUACAUCGGACGUUCAGCGCCGCAUUCCUGUAAGCCUAGAAGUUUGACAAUGGAGUUUAGAACGUCGACCAUGAUUCCACUGACGUUCCAAAUGCCAUUGUCAAACUUCUAGGCUUACAGGAAUGCGGCACUGAACGUCCGAUGUACACGUUUUUCCGAUGGAAACGUCGGCCGCAACCUCUAUUUGCAUUAAGUGAAGAAGUGAAAGUAUUGGAUCAAGAAACUAAUGAGAAGAAAGAAACGAUGGAGGAAAACAGAGUUAAUUCAAUCGGAAGCCGAAGAAAAUUCUUGUGGAUCUUCACCCAAGGUGGAUCAGUGACAGAUGAUGAUGGCAGAG